UGGCAAAUCGUGUUUGGGAGGGACCAGUUAGCGUUUGAGGGCAAGGGGCUCUGUACAACAGGUUUCCCUUCUCAUCUAUGGGCCCAGUAGCACAGAGAAAGUGGUGUUCCUGUUGCACUAUAGAAUCUUCAUGAUGGAAGACACUGCUGUUCUCCAUGUUUCUAAAGUUCAGAGUGCCCUGCAACUCAAAUCAUUCAAGACACUUCCCUAGUCCUUGGAGAGAGAUUUAUGGCCAAACAGCGUUGGGACACUUCCCUCACCACCGCUUAAACUAAAGAAAAUCAACAUUGUGGCAGAUCAAAAGAAUCUAUCUGGAGCUCAGUAUCGUAAAAAGGAAAGCUGAGCUGACAAAAGAGCAAGCAAAGCAAAAAGGUUCCUUCUCCAAAUAGCUUCAAUUUGACAAACACCAAGAUGGAAGCAGUUCACAGCAUUAAGAUGGAGGCAACUUACAGCAUCAAACUAACACUGAAGUUGAGCAGAUGUGUUCAUCUGCAGACACUUGUGCCAAUGUUGAGGUAAAAAAAAAAAAGAUAAGAAGGGAGCAGAAGGUAGAUUUGUGGAAGAUGAACUUGCAAGCAAUUUACAAUACAGAGACCCUGCAAUGUGGCCUACAAGUGAUGUUCAUGUAUGACGAAUUCUAAUGGAACUUGAACCUGAACAAGUUCAAAAAAUUCUUUUCCUGAAAGAUGGACUUAAAAUUCUCUGCACACCACUAUAAGACAGAAUUUGCCAAUAGGGAAGAAAAACCUUGACAGAGGUUAUAAUAUUCAGUGUCAAAAGACUCAGGGUUUUGCUUCGGCUGCAAACAGUUUAGCAGUUAUGCAAUUGGUACCCCACUUACUGAAAAUGGUUCAAAGAAUUGAAAAAACAUGUCUUCAGUUCUGUAUUCUCAUGAAAAAGGUCCUGGACUUUUGAAAAAUUUACAAAAUUGGAAAGAACUUGUACAUGAUUGAAAAAACAGAAGACGAAAAUAAGAGCAACUGGUUUCUUUUGUGAAUUCUCUGUGAGCAAAACCUGGCAUUUCACGGAACAGAUGAAAAAUGGUAAUAGAAACUCAUUGAAUACCUAUCUUUGUUUGAUCCAGACAUGAAGGCGCAUCUGCAUAAAAUAAAUAACCAUGAAACUCGUGUUCAUUACCUUGGAAAAACUUUGCAGAAUGAACUGAUUCAACUCCUAGCAAAAGCUAUUAACGAGAAAAUCUUAAAAGAUGACCAUUGCACAAAAUACUUCUCAUUAAUUCUGGAUUGCACAACAGAUAAGAGUCAUAUUGCUUUGUAGAUGUGUCAGAAUCUGCAGCUGAGGCUAAUGCUGAAGUGAUCCUAAAGGAACAUUUUGGGGGUUGUAUUGAGGAAGAAGAUGACUGUGCUUUAAUGACUGAACAUAUUCUAUGAGAUCUUGAAGGACUGUCAUUAUCUACUGAGAACUUACUGUAUAUACUUGUUCAUAAGCUGCAUUUUUGGGAAAAAAAAAUCCUACUGUGAAGAGCGGGGGUCAGCUUAUGAACAGGUUUAUCAUUUUUUCCACUGGGGAGAGGGUUUGGCAAACUUCCCACAGCUCCCAUUGGCUAAUGGGACCCUACCCACUGGUCUUCUAUCUUAGCUUCAUGUAGCUCAGCCAUACAGUCUGCCCUGCCCACCUGCCACUGUGAUCUUA